rnacentral:rRNA from 1 species
UCAGGACGAACGCUGGCGGCGUGCCUAAUACAUGCAAGUCGAACGGUCUUUCUAUGGAAGCUUGCUUCCGCUGAGAAGAUAGUGGCGAACGGGUGAGUAACACGUGGGUAACCUGCCCAUAAGAGGGGGAUAACAUCCGGAAACGGGUGCUAAUACCGCAUAGUUUCUUGAUCGCAUGAUCGGGAAAGAAAAGACGGCCUUUGUGCUGUCGCUUAUGGAUGGACCCGCGGCGUAUUAGUUAGUUGGUGAGGUAACGGCUCACCAAGACGAUGAUACGUAGCCGACCUGAGAGGGUGAUCGGCCACAUUGGGACUGAGACACGGCCCAAACUCCUACGGGAGGCAGCAGUAGGGAAUCUUCCGCAAUGGACGAAAGUCUGACGGAGCAACGCCGCGUGAGUGAAGAAAGGUUUUCGGAUCGUAAAACUCUGUUGUCAGAGAAGAACAAGUUGGAGAGUAACUGCUCCAGCCUUGACGGUAUCUGACCAGAAAGCCACGGCUAACUACGUGCCAGCAGCCGC